rnacentral:lncRNA from 1 species
CGCAGGGCUCCAAGCAGCUGCGACUAGCGGAAAGCGCGCGCCAGCUGCACGCAGGGAAACAGUUCUCAUUUUGUGUGCUCGGCUGACUGCACGUCCAGCCUCGGGCCAGCUCGAGACGGCCACAUUGCCUGGUUGAAGAUGGCUGAGCGUAAAACAGAAUGCAAGUCAGCUGGAGCACGUACUACUGGAGGCAGAGCCCCAUAAGAAGGGGCCAAGAACCCGCACCCACCAAAAUCAAGAAGAAAGGCUGAACCCGGAGAGAAAAGGGAGCAACUGAUGUUGCCAUGCAGAUCCCUUGGUUGCUAUGAGAUGGUAACAUCACUCUGCCCCACCAUUGGCCAGUGCCUCCUCAGCUGCGGUGCCUCCCAGGCUGUGUGGUUCUCACGCGGGCCACUGACACAGAGCUGUUACUAUGGUGAACUUUACAAUUUCCUUUGAUUGGUGGAUUUCAGAAAUAGGCCAUCAGCGGAAUUCAUUAUAUUCAGCUAAGUAAAAAUGAAAAAUAAAUACUAUAGCUUUCCCCUCAUCACUAACAUGAAGGAAACGUGACCCUUCAUGACAUAAUAAAUCGCUGUUCGGUAACUUAGGAUCCUUCAGGGGACUGAAGCGGGAUGAUUCUCCUAUGCCAAAUUUGGGUGGGAAAGAUAUUCCCUGUAGCUUUGAGUCGACUCUUCAGAGUUAAGGGCAGUGGGCCAACCAGAGUUGGAACUUCAGAGUUGGGAGGAGGUGUGGGAUGGGGCAUGCAUUGAAAUGUAAACUCUAUUGUCUCUGAAGUGAUGGGUGAUGCUGGGGGCCUGAGUGUGGAGGGCAGUUUUACAUCUCAGGACAAUGUUUUCUCAGAUGCUCUUCCAGAAAGGAAAGCCAGGAGUACUCCUGGCUGGAGGUGGCAUGCCUGAGGUCAGAGUCAAAGUAGGGUUUGUGCUGUCUGAAUCCUUUCUCCCACUCUCCCCAGCCUGGCUCAGCUUCUCAGCUUCUCAGGUGGAUUGGUGAGUCCUGGCCAAUUAUGCUUCAGCUCAUCUCUACUCUCGGCAAAUAGGAAAAGGGAGUGAAGGACUGAGUUUUAACCCUUCUAAUUUCGUAACCUGACUCUCUAUAAGAAAAAGUAGGAGAAAGACUGAAGAACCCGAGAGAAC